CCUCUCUCAGGGUCGCACCUGGAGAGUAUCCAGUACUCUACCAGUCUCGACAGCGGGAGGGUCAAGCAGAGGCACACCCAUUCCAUUUCUAGCUUGGGCAGUGGCUAGCGAGUGGAAGACAAUCUGCUACAAGU